CCUACGGGAGGCAGCAGUGAGGAAUAUUGGUCAAUGGACGAGAGUCUGAACCAGCCAAGUAGCGUGAAGGAUGACUGCCCUAUGGGUUGUAAACUUCUUUUAUAUGGGAAUAAAAUGUUCCACGUGUGGGAUUUUGUAUGUACCAUAUGAAUAAGGAUCGGCUAACUCCGUGCCAGCAGCCGCGGUAAUACGGAGGAUCCGAGCGUUAUCCGGAUUUAUUGGGUUUAAAGGGAUCGUAGGUGGAUUGUUAAGUCAGUUGUGAAAGUUUGCGGCUCAACCGUAAAAGUGCAGUUGAAACUGGCAGUCUGGAGUACAGUAGAGGUGGGCGGAAUUCGUGGUGUAGCGGUGAAAUGCUUAGAUAUCACGAAGAACUCCGAUUGCGAAGGCAGCUCACUGGACUGCAACUGACACUGAGGCUCGAAAGUGUGGGUAUCAAACAGGAUUAGAUACCCGUGUAGUC
rnacentral:rRNA from 1 species